AUUUGUGUGCUUUUUGAUGUUGUUUACGCUAGCUGGCCCUCGGAAAAUAUCAGUAGCAGCAGCACGAAGCAUUUGCGGGGAAGCACUUGUUUCAGUUGAUAGAGUUUGAACAUUGCAUUUGUUGUUUGGCAUUUAAGCGCAUAUUUCGGAUAGUAGGCGAUAAACGACUUGGCAGCGAUAUUAAACAGCUUACAUAAUAUGCAAUGAAUGGAAGUUAGUGAAGUUUGAUGCGCUGUUAAGCACUGACAAUUUUAAAUAUUUUGUACUCAAGCAUUGUUGUUUUUGAUACAAAAAAAUUUUUAAAACAAGAGAAAUCGUUAACUUCGGUUACACCGAUGCUAUUUUCACAGACACAAAUGAUUCCGUAUAUGAACUUGAUUUUGAUCGUUCAAUUUGUAUGGCAGCUAUAUGCUAUAGUGGUCCGAUCUAAACAAUUUCUUUGGAAAUUGUACCUUUGCCUUGGAUAAGGUUUUAUCAGCGAAAUUUCAGAUCGAUAUCUCAAUAACUGAGGGGCUAGUUCACAUAAAAGGUUUUUUUUUUUAAACCCCACCAAAAGUGAAAGGUAUUAUAGCUGCGGUGCAGCUGCAGUUAACAUUUUUUCUUGUUUUUUGUUUAAAUUUAUAUACUUACUUUAAAGAAUGUAACAGUGAGUAGUUUAAAGAAACUCCCAAUCUCUCUAUCUACUUAAUGUUGUAAUUCAACAAUUUUUUUUAGUAUUGCCCUAAUAUCGAUCAUACAAAAGCACUGAAGAUAUGGUAUAUCACUUCAUCGUCGAUUAUAGGGAGACAUAUGUGAGGUAUCAGCUAGACUGUAGCAGGUGUAGUUGGGGUACCUACUUUCUAAGCACUUCGUUUUCGUAAGAGCGAUCUAGCUGAAGAGAAGAAUAACUAUUACCAUGCGGACGUGGCCAUUAAUUUCUAGAUAUUAUGAUAAGUAUGAUUUGCGAACGUCGGUAGAUCCUUAUUUUAAUUUUUUAUAUAUCUAAGUUUAUUCCAGUUUUAUCUUUUACAGUAGUUAAUAGAGAAAGUAUUUUAACGUAUAGAAGCUAAGCAAUAAUUUGUAAUCAGCUCUGUAUUUUCCAUCACCAUAUAUAUUUUCAUUUUAAAAACAAGCUCAAAAAUUAAUCAUAUUUAUUAUAAGUUAUAGGUAUAAGCGCACCGAAUACAGUGAAAUUCAAGGUCAAAUGGCAACAAAAUUAAAACACAGAAUUUCAAAUCUUCCAGGCUUUUCUCAGUAUUGAGUAAUCAGUAUCCAGGCUAAAAAUUCAAAAUGAGUAUUCUGUAUAAAAUUGUUUUUCUACCUGUUUUCGCCAUUUAAAACUUAUCACCCGAGCGUAGUCACCGUCCUGCUUUUCUACCUGCGCAGAAUCCUUAAAGUUUGAGCAAAAUUUUGAUAUUGUAAUCAAAACUUAUUUCAACGUUAAUAGAAACGGAACAACUCUUCCCAGUUUCGAAACGAAAAUUAGUAAAUUCAUAGUCAUGGACUUAGGCAACUCAUCGCCAACUAUGUAUGAAAUUUACAAGGAUUUCAACAUUUUGCGGUCCAUAGAAGAUCCUGUACAAAUGAGAGAAAUGGGUUAUGAUUUCCUAGUAAAACUCAAUUCCUGUCAAGUGAAGCAUCCUAUCCUAGCCGAUAUAAAAUUGUGUGUAAACAGAUUGAUUGAAAUGACAUUUUUGGACGAGGGAGCUCGCGAAACGUUUUUAUUUUUAAUAAUUAGGGAAUUCGUUCGAAGUCGGCGUUGCAAAGGCUGUGGAUCCUAUAUGCAUGGGUAAACAUAUAAUAUUAAAUUUUAAAAGCACAAAUUGUUAAUUUCAGCAAUUCAAUAUGAUAAUUAUAAAAGUUAAAAGAGUAUAUUUCACGGAUUAUUCAAAAACAGAGAAAAAUGCAAAUAAAAUAUGUUUAACGAAAAUAAUUAUGUAAUGGCUUAAAUUACUUUAUACAUUCAUCGUUUGUUGUAAACCUAUUUUUUAUUUAGAAAUGAGUAAUAAUGGUGGUCAUCACAUUUUGUCAGUGAAACAGUCUUUGCUGAAUUUAAACGGCUUAGAUUUGAAACAAAUUUUUCUGCCGACUUUAACUUCAUCUCUCUUCUAAUGAGAGAGAUAGUUUGACGUGAAGCUCUUAAAACUCUCUCUCUCUUUAAAAACUUGAACGAUGUUUAAUUUAAAUUUCAAUUGGAUCAGAUAUAGAAAUGAGGUUAGAAACUAUGUCCGAAAUCCGAAAAGGUAUUUGUUGUUCCCAGAAUAUAGCGUUUUCUUUUCUCAAAAAUCUUUUUGCAUUUUGCCUGGGUUGUCAAAGCUGCGUGUCCUUUUGACCUGAAAAAAAUACAAAAUUUUCGGCUCGUCUCAAAACGUAAGGGGAAGAGUUGCCCAGGCGAUGAUAUUUUUCGCUUUUAAUAGUUAUUUUCUUUAAAUAAAGUUUUUUGUUUACUAAUUUUAAUGAAUGGAUCAGAGUUUUGUUAAGUUCAAUAAUAAAUACUGCAAAUGAUUUGGUUGUCAUUUUUUGUUCUUUUGUCAUCCAAAAAUAUAACAUUUAUAUAACAUUUACAUCGAGAACAGAAAACGUUAUAAGAUACCUCUUGGUAACUGCUUAAACAGCCAGGCGAUUCACUUCCCAUUUCAUUAGUAAUAGAAAAACAAGUAAGGACCGUCUAAGUAUGGCUUUUAUAGUGCUAAGAGGUGGAGCUUGAUUUUUAAGUGUUGACAAAAAUGUUGCACAAUAAUUCAACAUCAGUUAUUCAAUGAACAGUUGGGAAGUUUGGGCUGACCCGUCUUAUAGUCCACACCUUGCUCCUUCUGACUACCAUUUGUUCAGGUCCGGGCAGAAUUCCCUCACUAGAAUAUGGUUCAUAUCAAAAGAGAGUGUCAUUGGAUUUAUUCAUUCUAGACCGGCAAGCCGGCGCAGUUCUGGAAUCCAAAAAUUGUCAGGAAGGUGGGAUAUGUUAGAGCUUUAAAUAAUAAGGCAUGUAAAACGUGAACGAAUCUGGCCGAAUUUGGAGUUCUGAGUAUAUAAUUCAUGGAUUCAAGUCGGUUAAAAUUGGGUGAGCAAUUGCAGAGAUACGAGAUUAAACCUAAAAUGGGCAGUGUUAUCAAUUUAAAGUUUUUACUCCGACGCACACUUAACUCUUUCUCAUCAUUUUAACUGUAAAAAAACAGAAUUCAGAUAAAAUUUUGCUGGUUUUUGAACUAAGUAUCGAAGUCAUCAUAAGAUAGGUUUUAAGAUUUUGCCUUAUCUGAAAAACACUUUAUAAAUAUAAAAAAACCCAAAUUUUUGCGUUAUUCAUUAUUUAUAUUUGUAUGAUAAAUCCAAAAUCAUUAUUUCUAAAAGCAGUUGUCAAAUAUUUUAUUAUCGAUCUAUGACAAUUCCAUCUUCCUCUCCCUCAGCAUCGCUGUGCUCUUCGAAUGGAAAUAGUUGCAAAAGUCUGGUUACUGCAAUUUUCAUAUCCUCCAAGACUAACUUUAUCUGCGGAUGUUCAUUUCUGGAGUACCUCAACUCUUUUAAAAACCUAUAACAUUUUCCACCCAUUUCCACAGGAUCUGCAAUUUCAUGUAACUUCUCAAACUCUUCGAGAAGUUUUUGUAUCUCAGACUCCGUUCUUAAACGAGCCAUUAUGCUCCGUCUUCUACAAGUAUUGAGUAUAUUUCGCUUCUGCCGGAGAUUGAAUACGCUUUAAGUAAGAUACGAAAAUUGCUGGCAUUUUAUGUUCGUGCCACAGGUAGUCCGCUCGAAGUGAGGAAUAGCCAUUACGUUGCAUAGAAUGCCACUUAUUUUUAAGUAAUAUGAUGACUGAUUUUCUGAGAUCAGCAGAACUGAGUUUUUUGAGAUUUUGCCUACUUUGAAUUUAUUUUAAUCUUUUUUUGUGUAUUUACUUGUAUUUCAGCUUUUUAAGCAUUUGGGGAAAAAGUAUUAUUGUGAAUAAAAAUAAAACAAUAAUUUGUGUUGUUCCAUAUCUGGUAUAUAGUCCGAGUGUAUUUUAUUUACGAUAUCUUCACUUUGAAUACAAAUGCAACCAUAAGCCAUAUCGAACGAACACAUCUCCAUUAAUUUCAAGGAUAAGCUAUAUAAGCGCAGCGAAUACUGUGUCAAGUCAAGAACAAAUUGCAACAAAGUAAAGCAAAGUAUUUAAAAGACUAUUCUCAGAAUUGUUUAUUAAAAUUAGAGACUAAAAAUGUAAACGUAUUUAACAGAAUAUUAUCUAUCUACCUACCUUCUGUAUAUAUUACAUAGGUCGUGCUUUCCUACCUGCGCAGAAUCCUUAAUAUACGAGCAGAUGUUGCUGUAGUAGUAAAACCUUAUUUCAGCAUGAACAAAAACAAGUUAAUUCUCUCUAGUUUUGAGAAUUAAACAUGAACUUAAAAAACGUAUGCAAUUUUUAAAAUAUCCUCAACACAUGAGUGAAAUGGGCUAUAAAAUUUUGUGUAAACCGACUGAUAGCAAUGACAUUUUUGAUCAAGGGAGCUUACGUAGCGUUUUUAUAUUUAAUAAUUAAGAACUUGGUGCAGGGUUGGCGUUGAUGUUAAUAGCAGUUUAAGAAGAAGGGAGAAUUUAUAACUCCAGAAAGGCUGAACCGGUGAUUGAAAAUUGGUGGGGAAGUAGUUACGAGUCAAAGAACAUGCAAGUACGAUACUUUUUCUCUUUUCAAAUUCAAAACUAUUCAAAAAUAGAAAAAUUAUAUUUCAAAUCUUAUCUCAUGUGCUCAAAAUUCAUUUAAUAGUCAUUUUAAUAUUUUAUUACUUAAAAAAAAUAAAAUAACAACAUAUAACUACUGCAAGUAAUUUUUGUGGUUUUUUUCUUGGACGCACCAUGUGGAGUACCGAUCGGUCGAUUCCUUUUUCUUAAGUCAAUGAUACUACCGAAACAACAAUAACAAUAAAUAAUCGUUGUUAUGGUGAAGAAUUGAGACGAUUUGAUUGACCAUAAAUAUGCACAUGCAACUGCAAAUUGAAUAAUCAGCAUAAAAUAUAUUCCGAACAAUUGCUAGAAAUUGAAAAUCAUAUAAUAGAACUGCAGCCAAACACGCAAUGCAUUAAGUUGACAGACAAUUUCUGCAGUGCUGUUCAUGACAAAAAUAUAUUAAUUUCCUGUAAAUAAAAAUUAAUUACUUGAAUCAUAACAGGCUCAGUCAUCGAUGAUGUUGAGGAAAUUAAUUUCUAGAUACAACAGUGGUUUCCAGGGGAUCUGAUGUAUUAUAAAUCAAUCGCUACUAUUCUAGACGGAAAUGAAAAUUAAAAAAAAAACGUUAAAUUAAACAACUAAAUUGAAAUUAAUAACUAAAACUGUGAACCGCUCUGUAUAUUUAUGAAUUCAGGCUAUGCGAGUGAUAAACGCUACAUUUGUUUACUAACAACGGCUAACUUAUUUACUCGGUUGUCGGUUCACCAACUGACACUGACACGUGCUCGGUAAAUACACACAAAACUAGAGAAACAACAACAGCAACAGCCGGCAACGCAGCGCGUUUGGCUACUGGGCAAGUUGCGGACCAGCAGUGAGCGUGGCAUGCAACUAUUGUUCUAAGCCUGGACUAACGCUUGUUUUGGUGGCGUUGACAACUUGCUGACAAAGGACGAGUAACGGCAAAAGCGGAGCAUAAGGCAUGUUUGUUUAUGUAUGUGUGUGUGUGUGCAUGAUUCAGCACAAUUCCAGUUUUGCAUGCGUGUGUGUGUGUGUAUGUGUGCGUGAUAAGUUCACGCUGUUGGCAAUGGCUCGUUCUUUUUCAGCUCACUUUGUGACAAGUGUUAAUUGUUUGCUGAACGAAAAUUGCGUAAACGUGACCAGGAACAUGCCGUAAACAAUGCGGUCGGCGCAAGUAAACAUACGAGAAAUAGUUUUAAGCAGAAAAUUCGCGAGACAACUUUUUCGGAUCAACUCCUCAUGAGCGGUUACGAGAUCAAACGAGUCCAAAAUUAUUAAAAAUUAAUCGCCCAUAAUUAUAGUACAUUAAACUCUUUAAAUAUGUAUAUUUUUAAAAUUAUUUAUUAAAUAAAAUCACAAAAAAACUCGAAGAUAAUAAACAAAAACGCAUUUAUCAA